rnacentral:rRNA from 1 species
GAUGAACGCUGGCGGCGUGCCUAAUACAUGCAAGUCGAGCGAACGGACGAGAAGCUUGCUUCUCUGAUGUUAGCGGCGGACGGGUGAGUAACAUGUGGAUAACCUACCUAUAAGACUGGGAUAACUUCGGGAAACCGGUGCUAAUACCGGAUAAUAUUUUGAACCGCAUGGUUCAAAAGUGAAAGACGGUCUUGCUGUCACUUAUAGAUGGAUCCGCGCUGCAUUAGCUAGUUGGUCAGGUAACGGCUUACCAAGGCAACGAUGCAUAGCCGACCUGAGAGAGUGAUCGGCCACGCUGGAUCUGAGACACGGUCCAGACUCCUACGGGAGGCAGCAGUAGGGAAUCUUCCGCAAUGGGCGAAAGCCUGACGGAGCAAAGCCGCGUGAGUGAUGAAGGUCUUCGGAUCGUAAAACUCUGUUAUUAGGGAAGAACAUAUGUGUAAGUAACUGUGCACAUCUUGACGGUACCUGAUCAGAAAGCCACGGCUAACUACGUG